CAAUGAUGAAGUUUAUGUGUUACUUUAGAGAGAUAAAAGACCCUCAGAAACUCUUAAGAUACCACUCCUGGGAAUUGUUGAAGGAGCCCAGAAUAAUCACCACCAGAGAAGCUCAAUCCAACAAUUGAUGGAAACAGAUGCAGAGACCCACAGCCAAACACAAGAUGGAGCUUGGGGUAUCCACCAAGAAGAAGGGAAGGAUGGAUGGUAGAACCCAGAGGAGUUAAGGACAUCACAAGAAAAUCCACACAAUCAACUAACCAGGAUUCAUAAGGGAUCACAGAAACUUGACUGCCAACCAGGAAGCCUGCAUGGUUCUGAAUCCUUCAUAGACUUGAACCAGCACCUGUCUUGCUGCAGACAUUCCUUCAGACAUUGUCAUUCUGCUUUUCCAUGUGUUAUGUUUGAACAGUGAUAUUUUAUAUUGUUGCCAGAGAGCUUCAAAAACACCUGUCUUCAUGGAUGUAGGUUUUGUAAACCGACCUCCAGCAACUGUUUUCUCGACACUUGUAAGCUGAGCUUUCAA